UUAAUGUUAAUAAGGUUUAGUUUAAUUUUAGAAUUGUCGACUGUUAAUCGGAAGGUUUUUUACCUUAG
rnacentral:tRNA from 1 species